AACGAACGCUGGCGGCAUGCCUAACACAUGCAUGUCGAACGCCCUCUUCGGAGGGAGUGGCGCACGGGUGCGUAACGCGUGGGAACCUGCCCUUAGGUUCGGAGUAACUCAGAGAAAUUUGAGCUAAUACCGGAUAAUGUCUUCGGACCAAAGAUUUAUCGCCUUUGGAUGGGCCCGCGUUGGAUUAGCUAGUUGGUAGGGUAAAGGCCUACCAAGGCGACGAUCCAUAGCUGGUCUUAGAGGAUGAUCAGCCACACAGGGACUGAGACACGGCCCAGACUCCUACGGGAGGCAGCAGUGGGGAAUAUUGGACAAUGGGCGAAAGCCUGAUCCAGCAAUGCCGCGUGAGUGAUGAAGGCCUUAGGGUUGUAAAGCUCUUUUACCAGGGAUGAUAAUGACAGUACCUGGAGAAUAAGCUCCGGCUAACUCCGUGCCAGCCGCCGCGGUAACAC
rnacentral:rRNA from 1 species